CUGGCUCUCCCUGGGGGACAGAAACUGGGAGUGAGGCAAUGGGCCUGGUGCAUCCCUCCCUUCCACGGCUGGCUAACCCCUACCCUCCCUGGGUCUCAGCUAAUUCACUUCAUCAUUUAUCCCCUGUUCUUUGGGUCCCUGUCCUUUUCCUUCAAUAGGACCCCACAUAGUUGUAGUCAGUCAUCAUGUGAUCAUUUAUUUAAUAUCUGCCUUUUCCACUAAACUGUAAACUCCGAGUAUGAGACUAUCUCAGCAUCUAACACAGUUGCAGGUAUUUGGUGAAUGUUUAUGGAAUGAAUGAAUGAAUGAAUGAAUGACUCUGCUGGAUUCUUAGCCCCAGUCAACUUGGCCAUCUGAGGAUGUCAUACCCAUAUAGAACAGAACCAAUCCCGCCAUCACCACACUGUACAUAGAGAAACAAGGACCCAGAGUGGAAAAGGGGUGUCUCCCUGGGUCAGUGGGUCAGUGUGCAUAGCCCCGAAUGGCAUUCAGGCUCCCCUAAACUAGGGCUUCACCCCACACUCUCACCCAGGCUGCAUAUGCUGAGUGCAGGGUCUUCAGACCUGGGAGGGGGACUAAUGCAAGAGCCCUGUGUCAGGGAAGGGACACUUACCUCCUUCCCAGGAGGACCAGAGAAUCCAGGGAGGCCCUGCUGGCCUGGCUCCCCCUGCAGGAAAACAGUUUUCAGGUCAGUCUGGGGGGUCUAGUCAAGCUCUUGAUCUUGCAGAAGCCUGAUGAACCCUAAACAGAAUCUAGAACCAAAUGAGUUGGGGAAAAGGUGUUCUUGGUCAGGUCUUUUGGAGUCCAUUUAUUUUCCUGUUUGUUUCUCCUCUGGUUGGGAGCCAUGCCAUCCUGUUUCCACAGAGGGCUGGGGGGGAGCGGCAGGAAGGAGGUGCUUGGGCACUGUUGUUGAGCCUGGGGUGAGGCCUGGGCCUUAGGGUCUUUUAGCCAUGCCCCUGGACCCUGCCCCCCAGGCUCCCUUGCUCAGAUGAAGCCAAUCCUGUCCCCAGCUUGAGGUCACCUUACCUUGUCUCCAGGGCCUCCUUUUGUCCCAGGCUGGCCUGGCACACCCUGGAGAAAGAAGAUGACAUCAGUUUCUAUCCUGGCACUGGGGAGCCCCAGGCACCUCCCAUCCCCAUUCCAGAUCCCCUCCCUUCCUCAGCCCUGGCUUGUGGGAGCUGAACAACAGAAGGCCCAGCCAUGGCAUCACAGAGUUGACUGUACCCUGAGCCCUGGUGGGAGAGGACAGGGGUACAGAGGGGCCUAUAGUCUAUGGGGAGAAGAGAAGCACCCUGUGUUCUCAGGCACAUGUAAAUGCCUACAGGAACACAAUCUGCACACAGGCAUGUUAUCAGGCUUUGGCCUCAGCACCUCCAGCAGGGAGGCAGGGGGCGUCCCAUGGACUGGGCUUCCAGAAGGUGUGCGAUGGAGAUGGCCCUGAAUGGUGAGAAGGCACAGAGAGGUAGGGAACGGCAUUCCAAGUAGAAGCACCUGCAAAGGCCUGAAGGUGUAGGGGUAGAAGAGGCAAGGCAGGGUUCCCUGAGAAAGGAGAGGACACGGAGGGGCCGUGGCUGGUGAGGAUGGAAGGGUAUGGUGGGGUCAGAUUAUGGUGGCCUUGAAUGCUAAAGUGAGCUGUGAGGACAAGCCUUGUAGCUGUCCUGUUCACAACUUUCUCUGCCUCUCAGUGCACCCUGGGGACUCAGUAACCAUGUCUUGAAUGACUGGAUGGAGUGACUUUCCUGGAGGCAGUGAGGGCCAUGAAAAGUGCCUUAGUGGGAAAUCACCAACAUGGAGAAUUAGAAUGAUCAAAGAGAAGGCUAGAGCAACUGUCCAAAUGAUGAGGCCUAAGCCAGGCCAGGGGCCACAGAGGUGGUGAUGAGGUCUGGGCUGAUUGGGAACAAGGACUAGAGCAAGAUCCCUGGGUGUGUGGAUUUCCACCUCAUCAACCACUCAUGCCACCAUGGGGAAGCACUCCUCCACUGAGCAGGAGAAGCAAUUUACCCCUGGGGCCGCCCCUGGGACUCCACCCUGUACUCACCGCUAGGCCCUGGUGGCCUUGGUUUCCUGGCCGCCCCGCCUGUCCUGCGCUGCCCUGGGAGAGACAGAGAACCAGAGGCACAAGUGAAAGCUCCAGCUAGAGGGUCCAUGGCUUCUGCCCCCGUGCAAGUAAGGAAACUGAGGCCCAGAGGCAAGCAGGGAUGCAUCAGUGGCACACUUGAGGAUCCCAGGCUCCUACGCCUCCAGGAUCAGUGUGAUGAGACUCAGGGCCUGAGCUGGGAGGGACCCUGACCACUCCCCAACUCUACCGGCAAUCCCCACUCAUACCUUCAUGCCAGGUGUGCCUGGGGUCCCAUCCUUGCCGUCGAUGCCUGGGGGGCCCUGCUCAGAAGGAAAGUGGGGAGAUGCCUGGGGUCAGGCCACCCACCCAUGUCCCUCUGUGACAGCUGCAGUCAGUGUGUAGGUAGGAAGUGGGUCUGGUUAUCUCAGGAACCCCCACCAGCCAACUGAGUGGGGGGGGGGCAGAAAUGGGAAGAGGAUUUGGGGGGAUGGGCCACAGUCCUUCCUCAGUGGAUGACAAGUGUCCCAGAUUGCUGCAAGCUUCCCCAAACCUCUGCUACAUCACCACCCCAUUUACAGGUGAAAGAACUAAGGCACAGAAAGAGGGCCUCUCCCAAGGUCACAGAGCCAACCCAUCAGCAACAGAGCUCAAUCCAGAAUCUCAGGCUCCUCGUCCUCUGAAGCUUGGACAGAGUUGACCCCGCUCUCUGUCUGGGGCACAUUGUCCACCUCCAAGCCUGGACCUCCACAUGAUGCUCCCUGACAACCUGCUGUCCUGCAGCUGUCACAGAUGGAGGCGUCACAUCCCUCAGGGUCAGAAUGUGGGAUCAGCAUCCGCAUUAUUUCUUUGAGUGCUUCUCCAGAAAUGUGCUUGUAGAAGACUCUACUCCCUCAGGUGCCAACUGCUUCUAUCACCCCUCCUCUUUUCUCUGGGUCCUUUCCCUCACUCACUAAUGAUUUGGGCACCUGGAUCACAUCUUCCCCUCCUCUCGGGGUCCUGCCAUCUGGGGCGCCUCACCAUCUUCUUGGAUGACCCUUUCAACAUCCCAGAUCCCAUUGCCUUAACCACCUCAUUUCUGGUGAUCAUCUCCUCAACUCCACUUCAGCCAUAUUCUCAAGGCCGUACCUGGGGCGUUGGCUUCAUUCAGAGUGCCUCAGCUCUGAAAUAUUAAAACCAAUCAACCCCGGGAUCCCUGAGCCACCGUGCAGGAAGUCUGACCAUCCUGCUGGGGAGACCACACGGAGAGAGAUGCCCAGCCGAGCCCAGCCUUCCAGCUGUCCACACCAAAGCACCAGGCAUUUUGAACGUUCCAGACCUGCCUGAUCACCUGCUAAAUGCCACUGAGGGCCUGAGGAAACUCCACAUGGAACAAGAAGAAUUGCCCAGCUAAGCCUCAAUUACAGUUGUAUCAGAUGAGACUCCGUGUCAUCUCUCCUGGGGUGGAGCUCCUCCCCAUCUGUGGUCCCGGAAAUCUAGAAAACAAGUUCUCUGCUCCCAGAACAGAAUGUCAGGACUGGCAUAUGCUAACAGUUAAAGGCAUUCCUGUGCAAGCAGAGAGAAGAUGGAAGAAAUAAAGGAGUCACAGGUCCCAGGUAAUUUCAAAAUUAAGUUGGACAAGCUUUAUUAGGCUUCAAGGCCUAAGGAUAAUCCUCCGUAGCUCAAGGCUUAGCCCUCUGAGUUGUUUGUUCUUUUUCAUGAGAGACAGCACCUGUUCCCAGCUGGGCCAUUGUAUCCGCCUGCUUCCUGCUUGUAGCCUUCUUUCAUUUCUGACCCUCUCUGUCCCUUCCAGUCCAGGUUCCACUGUUUCUCCUGAGAUAUAAGACUCAAGAACCUUGUGGGCCUCUCAGGUAUGUCUCAGAGAUUCACUCCAUUACACCAGAGGCCCCUUCACAGAUGUUCCCUGGAUAAUUCCAUUUCUGGUUUUGGCUUCGUUGAGACAGCUGAUGUGAUCUAUGAGUCACACACUCUCUUCAAAAAUCCCUUCACGUGACCAAAUACUUGGGCCUUUGGAUCUUUCAGGGAUGUUAACAAAAGGUUGUCCAGGUGCACCAUCGGCUUUUUCUCAAGUGCACUUUCCCUGACAGUGAAUCUCUCCAUUUUAAUAUCAUUUGCAAUCUAGAUAAGCUGAGAAUUCCCCCAGGUCAUCAAGCCCCGGUUUGUUUUUGUUUGAUAGUUCUUUCCUCCGUGUGUCCGUGUCCCCUCCCGGUUGGUUACGGCAAGUGGCAAGAAGCCGCGAGGCCACACCUUUCAACGCUUUGCUUGGAAAUCUCGGCGAAACAUCCAAGUUCAUCGUUUGUAAGUUCUGCUUUCCACACGACUGCAGGGCGUGUGAUUCGAGGCUUCUUGCCACCGAGGAACGAGUUUCCAGUAAGGCGUUCCUCAUUUCCUUCUUAGCUCUUAUGGGCAGCACCUGUAACAGCCAUAUUUCUACCAAGUCUGUGCACGAUGACGUGGGCCUGCUCAAAGUUGGUUUAUGUUUUCUCCUCCGCGCCCCUCACUUCUGAGUCCUCAGCGGCAGAGUCGUCGUUAGCUCCCUUGUUGCCACCGAGUCUGUUCAAGGUCAUCUAAGCUUUUUCUAUGAUGCUCCCUACUGUCCCUACUCCCUACUGUCCUCUCCCUACUGUCCAGUUCCACUGCCUCUUCCACGUGUUGAGAUGCUUGGUCCAGCACCACCAAAAUCUGUAUUUGUUUUCUACGGCUGCUGUAACAAAUAACCAUGGACUGAGAGGCUUAACGCAAUACAGAUGUGGUGUCUAAGAGUUCCGCA